GGCCCAGCUUCGCGCUCGGGCCACAUCUGACUGAGGGUCGGUCGAUUGAUGAACGAAGGCGGUUGUCUUGGCUUUGUCUAUACCCCGUCUUGAUUGCCGGUAGGUUAGAAAAAAAGUCUAUGCCCGCUGACUCUGGGGGCCGCGCGGCUUCAUCGCCCGCGAUCCCUUAAAUCGAAAUCGGGAAUCGAGGGCUUUACUGCUUUCAAAAGUCCCCUCUUCGAAAUUGAAACAGUCUUUCGUGUACGUGAGUACGAGGCGGCUGCCUCAAGAUCUAGGCGACCGCUCUUCGCGGUGACCAGAUUCCAGAUGAGUCGUCGAGUCGAAAGCUAACGUACUCUCUCGGUACAGUAACCGCCGUGUGUGCAGUGUGUGUGUCGGUUCGGACGAGAGAGAGAGGGGUUAGAUACGACUCGAUGCCGUGCCGUAAUGGAUUUGGCUCGUCACUGCCGUUUGAUCGUUGGCUCUCGCGCUGUUGUGUGUGUGAAGCCUCUCGAACACUCGUGCGCCGGGCGUGUUGUUGACUCAACCACCGCGUAUGCGAGUUAUUAGGAUGGCCGUGUACAGCGCGACUGGCCUUUGUUUUCUGUGCACUACGAUCGACUGUCAAACAUAACAAAAAAUCAUAUCUGACCUCAGUUUAGGUGAGACUACCCGCUGAACUUAAGCAUAUCAGUAAGCGGAGGAAAAGAAACUAACAAGGAUUCCCUUAGUAGCGGCGAGCGAACAGGGAAGAGCUCAGCACCGAACCUCGCGCCCGGCAAAGCGGACGCAGAGGAAUGUGGUGUUUGGGAGAACCGUGCGUGUCUGUCCGGUAUAUUCAUCCAAGUCUCCAUGAACGGGGCGAGCAACCCACAGAGGGUGUCAGGCCCGUAGACCAGAUGAGCCGAGACCGUACAUCGGGUUC
rnacentral:rRNA from 1 species